rnacentral:rRNA from 1 species
UACGAAGGGGGCUAGCGUUGCUCGGAUUGACUGGGCGUAAAGGGCGCGUAGGCGGUUCGUACAGUCAGACGUGAAAUUCCUGGGCUCAACCUGGGGGCUGCGUUUGAUACGUGCGGACUUGAGUGCGGAAGAGGGUCGUGGAAUUCCCAGUGUAGAGGUGAAAUGUGUAGAGAUCGGGAGGAACACCGGUGGCGAAGGCGGGUCUCUGGGCAAUUCCUGACGCUGAGGCGCGAAAGCGUGGGGAGCAAACGGG